AGAAACACUUGGUUCCUUCCAGCAUCUGUAUUUUCUUAAGAGUGGGCUCCAUAUUUUGUUGCUUUGUGAUGGUUCUGACUAAUUAUCUCUAAAUUGCAGGACUGUAAAGAUAAUUAGCAUGAAAUGUAUUUAGUUAAUGUGACCUCAGUCUGAACUUUGGACACUUUCUCUUCUCCUUCAUCCGUCCAUUCACUACAAGAAACAAGAACCUCUGAGCAGCAACCUACACACUGAAAAUAGAAAGUUCUGGUGAAGUUUGGUUCUUUUGAUCUAGUUUCCAGCCGCUCCAGGAAGUUCGUCUGUGGUCAGUGUGGUCGGUCUUAUCGCCACGCCAGCUCCCUGCUCAACCACAAGAACAGCCACAAGACCGGAACCUACUUCUGCACCUCCUGCCAGAAGGAGUUUCCUAAUCUGAUGUCUUUCAAGAACCAUCGGCGCAUCCACACCGAGCCCAAGCGCUACCAGUGCCCCGACUGUGGGAAGUCCUUCCGGGUGUCAACGGCGCUCAUCUGCCACCGUCGCAUCCACACCAAGGAGAAGCCGUUCUCCUGCCAGCAGUGCGACAAGCACUUCUCCUCCAAGUCCAACCUGAGGCACCACAUGAAAGUUCACUGGAGGAGUCCAACGUCGUCCAGAGGCUCCGCCUUCCUCAGCGUCCCAUCCAGACCUUUCUGAAGCAGUGCUCACUGUGACCUCAGUGUGGACGAACACAACUAACCCAUCCCUGAACGCCUCACUGUGAAGUUUAACCACAGCUGAGGCCUUCAGACUGAAACCUGCUGCAGCAGUUUAGUGAAAUUAAAUCCACUUAACAGACUGGAUCCAGCUGUCAGCUCUGAAAUAUGCAGGCAAACUCCUUAAUUUAACAUUUUCAACCAGCUUCUCCUGCAAAAUCUGACUUCAAAUUCAAUACGAACAUGUAAAUAUUUCUGUCUAACACAACACAACCUGAAUUUCAGCAUUUGAAAUCCAAAUCAGGUUUAAGUUUCUUUGAUUUGAAGAAUUUGGAUCGACGUCAGACGUUCAGGUUUGACCUGGUUAGCUUAGCUUAGCUUAGCCUGGCUCUGUCUGCAGCUCACUGAUUAGCAUGUUGUAGCUCGUUUGUACAGAAACCAAAGUGUGAGAAGAGCCAGAAUGUGCUAAAUUUUUAUGUAUCUUUAACUCAGUAUGUUAAAGAAUCAAACAUCUUAAUAUUAGUAAUGGUUUAAAAUGUCAACAGCGUUUAAUUUCACUUCAGCUCUUCAGUUUAUUAUCAGGUUGACGUCUUUUACGACCACAUCGCUCAAACCUGAGGCGAUGUUUUAUCCUCUGAACUUCUGAACAAACUGAAGCUCUUCUGUUACUCAAAGUGAAACUUUAUUCCAGUUACUGAUCAGAGUUACUCAGCUUCGUUUUCUUCUCUGAUGACAUUUUAAAAAAUUCAGUUUGUGUUUGCUUCACCUCCACGGAUGGACUGUUAACAAUAUGUUGGUGAACAGUGUUGGCCUGGUGGUUUACAGACUUCUGGACAGCUGGAUGAUGGGUCUUGUAUAAUUUUCUUUAGCUCUGAGUGUUUUUCUACUGCGGAGGACAACAACUGGAUCAUGUUCCUCCGUCUGUUGGCUCAGAUCUGCUUCUGGGAGUUUCUAUGUCUGCAGAUACUAAAUCCUGCUGUUCUUUACCUGUUGAAAUCUGAGGGAGAGUCAAAGUCAAAUCUGGAUUAUGGAAGUGCAUCAAUACAUAAGUGUCCUCUGAUGUCACCACCGUUAAUAUUCAACCGAAACACGUCAUUCCAUGAAAAAUCAAUCUCACAUCCAUCUGGUUCUAGUGAUCUUUUUUUUUUUCCAGGGUGUUCCAGGCCCUUGAAAUACAUAGAGGUGGGUCCAGAUUUAUCACUUUUUAAUGGACUUUUUCCAUCAUUUCUGAGCCUCAGUACAGCAGAUGGAUUCAUGACAUUUUAGGAUGGAAAACACAUCUAAGUUCUGGUAAAAACUGAAACCAGAUCUGUUUUAUAUCCAUCCAGGUGUCACAGUCUAAACAUUGAAUCUGGUUUCUGUCCAUUUUCUCUAUAACCAACUUUGAGCAUCACUUAGUUUGGACAAUAAAACUGAAUCAGUUUAAUGUUUAUGACAUAGAGUCAUAGAAACAAUCGCUGGUACUCUUGUUCGUGGUCAUUUUAUAUACAGUUGUAGUUAUUUUGUGUUUCUUCUGACCAGGACUACCACAGUGAAUGCAUAGUUUUUAGUUAAACUUUCUAGGCUCUUAUCAGCGGGUGUAGUAGAUGGUUGGUCAGAACAAGUUCUACACAGCAAAAGCAUCAUUUUACUCUCAAAAUAGACAUGAUUCACUCUGUGGGAAUUUUUUUUUCCUAUAUAUGCACACACUAACUAACUGUAUUGGUCAAAUGAUGGAAAAAGUCCAUUAAAAAGUGAUGAAUAUGGCCUUACCUGUAAGUAGGUGUAAGUAGUUCAGGGACCUGGAAACCUGGAAAUAUUCAUCAUAUGAAGGUAAAACUCCAUGUCAGACCAUCAGUUCUCCACUUAAUUCAAUUUUUAUUUUGUGACUUUAGUCUCGGUUUCACUCACUGUUUAAUUUUGUUUAGUUUAAUUGUCACUGCAUCAAACUUGUUACCAGAAAAGUGUAAUCAGUGACAGCAGAGAUCGUUUGGACUCCUGGCGUCUGGUUCUGACAUUCUCUGGUCUUUUGUAGAUGAUAAAUCUUCUCUGCAUGAUGAAAACUGACAAUGAAGAUCCUCGUUUUGGUCAGAGGUGGAGAUAAAUUUGUUCUCCUGGAUCAUCUGAAAGCUUCGUGCAGUUUAAAGAUGUGAACCAACUGAAGACAAACCUGCUGGUUCACACAGAUGUCCGUAUCUUCUGACUCUGUUUCUGUUGUCACAUGUAGUUAGAGGGCUGAUGAUCAGUAGAACAUUAGAAGUGAUGAUUGUUCCUCUGCUGACCUCAUGUUUGGUCGAAGGUGAUGCGUCAGGGCGGGUUGUGGCGGCCAUUUUGGAUCCCUCCCUCAAUCUAAAUUUCUGCAUUCACUAAAUAACAUAAAUUCAUAGACGUGUUCUCAUAUUUACAGCUGUUUUACUUUGUUGUAAUUUCAUGACUGACAAACAAAUCUCGCGAAAGAUCAAAUUUAAAAGGAAACAGCUCUCACUAUGAGAAAAUAAGUUAUGAGAAGAAGAAUCGUGUUGUUCUCAUAAUUUUUUUUUAUAAUUCUCAGAUGUUUUCUCAGAAUUUUACAAUUCAGAGCUUUAAAACAGGACAAACUGAGGAGGUUCUGAGAAAUUCUUCUUCCAGGUCUGAGAUACAGAAUUGAUCAUUAUUACAAAGAAAACAAGAAAACUCUCAUAUUAAAUCCAUAUUUGGGAACUAGGAAAUUAGUUUUGCGCAAGAAUGAGAAAGCUCAUGUAAUUAAGUCAUAACUUUGAGAAAAUCUGUUAAAAGAUCUGUGAAAUUAUCAUGAGAUUAUCUGAUUUCAACAAGAUAUUUUCUCAUAAUUACCUCAAGUUUACUAUUUUCAUGUUUUCUCUUCUUGAUGAGAAUUUCAAUUGCAUUUUCCUGAAAUCUGAAUCAUAUAAUGAAACACUAAGCAUGAUAAUUAUGAUAAAACAUCAUAAUACUGUAUUUAUUCAUUACAACAAAUUUUCAUAAUUUUCAUCACAUAAGAAAAAUCAGAAUACAAAACUCUUGUCUAGUAAUUAUGAAAGUGAUCUCAUGGCUAUUUUCUGAUGAUUCUCUGAUUCUCUGAUGUUUUCCCUAAAUUGUAGAUUGAAACUUUUAAGGACAAGAAACUGAAGAAGUUUUAAAGAUGAGAAAACUUGAGAUUUGGUCAUUAUUACGAUCAAACAGGAAAACUCUCACAAAAAAUCCAGAUCAAGUAUUUAAGACCUUUUUUUUCCAGCGUUAUGAGAGAUGCUUUGUAAUCCUGAAAUGAAGUCAGAGCUUCUCUGAUAAUUAUGAGAUUAUUUGUUUGAAUAUUUGUCUCAAAAUUAUGUGAAUUAUGGGAAAGCAAAAACUGCAUAAUGAUGCUAAUAUUUUCUAUUAAGUCACAUUUUAGUAAAAACUGGAGAACUGAGAAAACUUUCUUAAACUGUAUUUAUUAUGAUAGUUUCUCCUAAAUUUUAUCAUGAGAAAAUUAGAAUUAUAAUAAGUAUAUAUCCUCAUAUAAUCAUGAGUUCUGCGUUAAGACAGAAUAUCAAGAGUAUCGUCAGUUAAAAUGAAAUAUUCUGAGAAAAAACUCAGAUUUCUGUCCUCAAAGUUGUAAGUUUAUUAUGUAAAUACAUUUAACAGAUGUUAGCUACACAUCUGUUGUAUUGAUUCAUCUCAAUUAUUUAACCAGCAAUUAGUUUUUCUGUAAAUCUGUGACUUUAAUCUCAGAGACUUUCUGAGAGAAAACUUUAAUAUUCACUAAUGCUUUGUUUAGAUUAAUACUCUAAUUUCUGAAAAAGUCACAGUGAAAAGGAAACGCCUUUAUGUGUGUUUAGUGACUGAAUUUCACUUCUGUACAUUCUUGACUUCAACAUCGUUGAUGCCUAAGUAGCCUUCAUUUGAACUAAAAAAAAGUUUAAAAUGAAAAAAGGUGGAAUUAGUUCUGAUUUAUCUGUCUCAAUAUGCUCACAAUGAUCUGUUUUUUCAAUCUGGGGAUUCAAAAUGGCGCAGCAGAGAGUCUUGGUGCUGUUUGAUGUAUUGUUGCUGUUCGUCUGUGACAGUUUUAAUAUACAAACUCCUUUAUACUCACCUGAUAGUAAAAGUGCAGAUAAAUGCCUUGAAAUGUGUCUUUUUUAUUUCUAGGUUCUAAUCGAAACAUUAAAAGUGUUUACUUCUUGGUGUUUGACACAAACUAUCAUUAUGUGGAUUUUUUUCAGCA
ensembl:lncRNA